GACGAACGCUGGCGGCGUGCUUAACACAUGCAAGUCGUACGGUAAGGCCCUUUCGGGGGUACACGAGUGGCGAACGGGUGAGUAACACGUGAGUAGCCUGCCCACAACUUUGGGAUAACGCUAGGAAACUGGUGCUAAUACUGGAUAUGUGCUCCUGCUGCAUGGUGGGGGUUGGAAAGCUCCGGCGGUUGUGGAUGGACUCGCGGCCUAUCAGCUUGUUGGUGGGGUAGUGGCCUACCAAGGCGGCGACGGGUAGCCGGCCUGAGAGGGUGACCGGCCACAUUGGGACUGAGAUACGGCCCAGACUCCUACGGGAGGCAGCAGUGGGGAAUAUUGCACAAUGGGCGCAAGCCUGAUGCAGCAACGCCGCGUGCGGGAUGACGGCCUUCGGGUUGUAAACCGCUUUCAGCAGGGACGAAGCUUUUUGUGACGGUACCUGUAGAAGAAGCACCGGCUAACUACGUG
rnacentral:rRNA from 1 species